AUAGCGGGGAAAAGAAACUAACAAGGAUUCCCCUAGUAACUGCGAGUGAAGCGGGAAAAGCUCAAAUUUAAAAUCUGGCGGUCUCCGGCCGUCCGAGUUGUAAUCUAGAGAAGUGUUAUCCGCGCUGGACCGUGUACAAGUCUCCUGGAAUGGAGCGUCAUAGAGGGUGAGAAUCCCGUCUUUGACACGGACUGCCAGGGCUUUGUGAUGCGCUCUCAAAGAGUCGAGUUGUUUGGGAAUGCAGCUCAAAAUGGGUGGUAAAUUCCAUCUAAAGCUAAAUAUUGGCGAGAGACCGAUAGCGAACAAGUACCGUGAGGGAAAGAUGAAAAGAACUUUGGAAAGAGAGUUAAACAGUACGUGAAAUUGCUGAAAGGGAAACGCUUGAAGUCAGUCGCGUUGGCCGGGGAUCAACCUUGCUUUUGCUGGGCGUACUUUCCGGUUGACGGGUCAGCAUCAAUUUUGACCGUUGGAUAAAGUCUAGGGGAAUGUAGCAUCUUCGGAUGUGUUAUAGCCCUUGGUCGCAUACAGCGAUUGGGAUUGAGGAACUCAGCACGCCGCAAGGCCGGGUACUUGUACCACGUUCGUGCUUAGGAUGCUGGCAUAAUGGCUUUAAUCGACCCGUCUUGAAACACGGACCAAGGAGUCUAACAUGCCUGCGAGUGUUUGGGUGGAAAACUCGGACGCGUAAUGAAAGUGAAAGUUGAGAUCCCUGUCGUGGGGAGCAUCGACGCCCGGACCAGACCUUUUGUGACGGAUCCGCGGUAGAGCAUGUAUGUUGGGACCCGAAAGAUGGUGAACUAUGCCUGAAUAGGGUGAAGCCAGAGGAAACUCUGGUGGAGGCUCGUAGCGAUUCUGACGUGCAAAUCGAUCGUCAAAUUUGGGUAUAGGGGCGAAAGACUAAUCGAACCAUCUAGUAGCU
rnacentral:rRNA from 1 species